AUGAGAGGAUUUCUAACACUUUUCAGAGCUCCUGCCAAAUACCAGUAGCACUUGAAAUAGAAGUGAAGUGGACUAAAUAUGGAUCCCUAGUCAAUCCACAAGCCAGAAUAGUAAAUGUUACAGCAACAACCACUACUACUACAUUGAAGCAGCUUCCUCUGGGAAGAGAAAGGACUAUUCCUAUAACAAGUUCUGUUGUUUUCACUGAUAUUUCUUCACCUGCAGAACCAGGCUAUAAAGCUUGGCCCACCAUUAAUGCCAAGUUACCCCAUGACUUUUUCUUCCCAUUUGUCUAAGGUGAGUGCCCAGGACAGUUUCUUCCCAACCCAUCAGUGGCCCAUCAGUUUCUUCCAAACUGUAGGCAUGCUGAGUUAAAAAUUCUCCAAUAGAAAAACAGGUGAGCCCUUGUGAGGGUUCUCAAAAGCUUUAAGGCAGGG